UAUGUGAUCGUCUCUCGCAUAUCAAUAAGCGGAGGAAAAGAAACUAACAAGGAUUCCCCUAGUAACGGCGAGUGAAGCGGGAAGAGCUCAAAUUUGAAAUCUUAAAGGGUUUCCCUUUACGAAUUGUAGUUUAAAGAAGUGUUUUCUGUUGAGGUUUUGGUAAAAGUUCUUUGGAAUAGGACAUCAUAGAGGGUGAGAAUCCCGUAUUUGACCUUUACUUUCAACUUUGUGAUACACUUUCAAAGAGUCGGAUUGUUUGGGAAUGCAGUCCAAAAUGGGUGGUAAAUUUCAUCUAAAGCUAAAUAUUGGCGAGAGACCGAUAGCGAACAAGUACCGUGAGGGAAAGAUGAAAAGAACUUUGAAAAGAGAGUUAAACAGUACGUGAAAUUGUCAAAAGGGAAGCGUUUGACACCAGUGUUGUCUUUCUGAAAAUCAAUUAAAGAACUGUUUAUGCUAAGUUGUUUAGACUUUAUCAGCUAACUGUUUAGUUUUGAGCUUUUCUUUAAUGCACUUUUCAGUUAACAAGUCAACAUCAAUUUCUUUUGCUGUAAAAAAGCUUGAGGAAGGUGGCUUGAGAUUCGUCUUAAGUGUUUAUAGCCUCUUGCCUAUGCAGUCGGAGAGAUUGAGGUCUGCAGCGUAGAUCCUUCGGGGCUAAAUGCAUUUGUGCUAAGUUAUAGCAUUUUAUAGACAACUUGUUGACUAUGAUUUGUCUUGUAGCUUACUCGCUUAUGUUAUUUUACCUACGCUUAGGAUGUUGAUCUACAGAGCGAGAGU
rnacentral:rRNA from 1 species